rnacentral:rRNA from 1 species
UACAGAGGUCUCAAGCGUUGUUCGGAUUCAUUGGGCGUAAAGGGUGUGUAGGUGGCGCCGUAAGUCGGGUGUGAAAUUUCGGAGCUUAACUCCGAAACUGCAUUCGAUACUGCGGUGCUUGAGGACUGGAGAGGAGACUGGAAUUCAUGGUGUAGCAGUGAAAUGCGUAGAGAUCAUGAGGAAGACCAGUGGCGAAGGCGGGUCUCUGGUCCGGUACUGACGCUGAGGUGCGAAAGCGUGGGGAGCAAACAGG